UACAGAGGUCUCAAGCGUUGUUCGGAUUCAUUGGGCGUAAAGGGUGCGUAGGCGGCGCGGUAAGUCGGGUGUGAAAUCUCGGAGCUUAACUCCGAAACUGCAUUCGAUACUGCCGUGCUUGAGGACUGGAGAGGAGACUGGAAUUUACGGUGUAGCGGUGAAAUGCGUAGAUAUCGUAAGGAAGACCAGUGGCGAAGGCGGGUCUCUGGACAGUUCCUGACGCUCAGGCACGAAAGCCAGGGGAGCAAACGGG
rnacentral:rRNA from 1 species